rnacentral:tRNA from 1 species
GCCUGGUUAGCUCAAUCGGUAGAGCGUGAGACUCUUAAUCUCAAGGCUACGGGUUCGACCCCCGUAUCGGGCU